GUUCAGUAUCAGAGAAAAAAAUAAAGAGGCGCUUUGAGACCCAAAAAAUGAACAUCUGUCCCAGCGGAAGGCAAAGCGUAAUCUGGUGGGUGAAGCCACCGUCCUCGCUGGCGGACGGGGAAGUGAUGCCAGAGGCUCUCGGGUCUGUAGCGAGGAUUUCUGCAGCGAGAACGGCUCACCCCGCUGCUCCUCGUGUUUCCUGCGCUUCCAAACUCGCGGGAGGUUUGCAAGAACGUCGGCUGAAAUCCCGAAAAAAAAAGCCUUAAACCAAAACCAAUAAUAAUAAUAAUAAUAAUAAUAAUAAUAAACAACCCGGGACGGACAGAAGUGGUCGGGGUAACACACGGUUCCUCCGCCCUCGGCCGCGCACGAUGUUCGUCGGUUCCGGCCAUUCGCAGUAAAUAAAUUAAUUAAAAAAAAUAUUAUAAUAAUAGUAACAAUUAAAAGAAGCAAAAUAAAUCCUGGCGGCUCGGGAAUUUAAGAGGAACGGAGUAGAGGAAUGCAGAGAGCAACGACCCGGACGGGGCUGGGAAAAGCGGCUCAGCAGCCGAGGUGGCAACGAAAGUGCAGAAAAAGGCUUUUCCCAAAUACGAAAUAACAAUAAAAAUAAUAAUCUUAAAAGCUGGAAAUAAAGGAGGGAGGAGGCAGCCGCAGAAUCUCUCUGUUCCAGGGCUGUUGCGCCUGCGAGCGGGAAGAACUCGCGGGGACGCUGUCGUGCCCCGGGGCUGCGCUGCUGCCACCCCCGUCCCUCGCGGAGGUUUUGUUCACUUUGGGUAUUUUUAUCCAUAUUUUUGUCAGUUAAACUGAACCACGAAAAACUCUCCUCGCAGGGAAUGCACUCCCGAUUUUUGAGCUCGUUCUCGUUAUUUGGGGGUUUGAAGGACGGGCAAAAGGGAGAAAAUGUUAUUUAUUAAGGGGGGGGUGUUGAUAAAAUAAUCCUGAGUAAGGGAAGAGAAUCGGAGCCCAGCUUGAAGCGGGUUUUGUUUUUCAAUCCGCCGCGAUUACGGUUUGUGGAAGGAGGGAAACAAAGUAAAUUCCCAAAUCGAGGGGGGAAGCCCAGCUCCGGGGGAAACUUCGGAAGAUGCCACCGGCGAGAACGCUC